rnacentral:lncRNA from 1 species
CCCGACUCCCGGCAGGGAAGGGUUCUGUCCUCAUUUGGGCGUAUUCUGUUUCUGCCCACCUGGUGUGUGCCCUCCCUGACUCCUGCCCCAUUUCCAGACCCGGCUCACGCGUACUUCUCACACUAAGCAGUCUCACUGAAGCCACCGCUUGGAAUCUGCGGUGUUUACUGUCUGCCCCGCCCCUUUUGUUUGCCCGUUUGUUAUGGAGGUGUGUGUUUAAACGGGCAAAGCAGCGUGCUGCCAGGGACACCAGGAAAGCCCACUUAGCCAUCAACUGGAGACUCUGACAACUAGAAGAAACCUGGAAGGCCACGUGACAGAUAUGGAGACAGGCUGAGAGAAG